rnacentral:lncRNA from 1 species
AGAGCUUUUCUACUCAUUUAUUCGACUUAUCUACUAUAAAUUUUUCGUCUCUUUGUAAUUUUUCAUUUUUUCUUCUUUUUCUCUAAGAUUAGAUUUUUUUUUACUUGUCUCCUUUCUUUUUUAGAGAUUUUCCAUAUCUUUUAUUUUGUUAAAGACUUUAAAUUGUACAAAAAUGCUACUAAGGGAGACCUGAAUAUCCAGAAUUUUCAUAAUUUAGCAACUUCAUUGACUCCUAGACUC